AUUGAACGCUGGCGGAAUGCUUUACACAUGCAAGUCGAACGGCAGCACGGACUUCGGUCUGGUGGCGAGUGGCGAACGGGUGAGUAAUGUAUCGGAACGUGCCCAGUCGUGGGGGAUAACGUAGUGAAAAUUACGCUAAUACCGCAUACGAUCUAUGGAUGAAAGCGGGGGAUCGCAAGACCUCGCGCGAUUGGAGCGGCCGAUAUCAGAUUAGGUAGUUGGUGGGGUAAAGGCCCACCAAGCCAACGAUCUGUAGCUGGUCUGAGAGGACGACCAGCCACACUGGAACGGAGACACGGUCCAGACUCCUACGGGAGGCAGCAGUGGGGAAUUUUGGACAGUGGGCGAAAGCCUGAUCCAGCCAUUCCGCGUGCAGGAUGAAGGCCCUCGGGUUGUAAACUGCUUUUGUACAGAACGAAAAGGUUUCUACUAAUACUAGGAGCUCAUGACGGUACUGUAAGAAUAAGCACCGGCUAACUACGUGCCAGCAGCCGCCGCUG
rnacentral:rRNA from 1 species